GUGUAGCUCAGUGCUACAGUGCAUGCCUAACAUACAUGAAGUCCUGGGUUCAAUCCCCAGUAC
rnacentral:tRNA from 1 species